GAGCCCCACCAGGACACCACUGAUCAGAAGAACCUUGCUACUCAUCUUGGCUCUCAGUAUCUGCAGAGAAGACAGAAUGGAUGACUGAACUGGUUGAGGUGCUUGAGCUGAUGAACUGAAUUGCCUUUGUGCGCCUAUAUAUACAUGCGAAAGAUGCUCUACAGUUCCAUUGACACUGUUAGUAGUUGUCUAUCAUUUAAUGGUUUGAUUCGUCCAGCUAGUUCAGCAUGACGGUGAUCUGCUCGCUUUCAAUUCACAUGAUGAAGCUUCCAUUGUGAGUUCUUUAACUCAAAUCUGUGUCCAAAUUUGUAGGUUAGAGCGAGGCCAUGGCACUUUUAGCUUCCAUGGAUAUUGGCAGUCUUCUUUCCAUGCAGAAUGGAUUUCCUCCCCGAAAGUCUGCUGAUUUAAUGGGGAUCGGUGCUUGCCACCUACUCAGUACACUUAACCAUGCCUCGAGCUGGAUUUCAUGCUGUGGUGGCAAAAUUGAAUUUCUCAAUUUAAUGGAAGCACAGUAUGGUAAGAUUCCCUGGCCCAGUUGUUAUGUGGAAGCACCAAAUUUGAUUUUACAAUUGUUUUUGUGUAAAAAGCGAUGCUUUGGUCUAAUUCCGCUUGUUAAUUCUUGUAAGUUUCUUGGAACUGAUUUGUGCCGCAGUCUUUCAUGCUAUACAUUAUCAGCACAUUACAUUACAGAAUUGUGCUGCAAAGUUUUCGAGUUUUUCUGAUCUAUCUGGCUGCUUCUAGCUAGCGUUAGUUUACUUGGUAUGCUGUAGACCUUGUGCUGUUAGUUUUUUUUAAUUGAAAACAUUUCUGUUUUAGUUACAAACAGACCUUGCUGCUCUUAAAUAAAAAAUAUAUAUAGCAAUUAGUGUAAUGCUGCUGCAGUCAUUCAUCAAUAUCGCACCUGCGAUUUCAUCAUGCUAUCCAUCACUCACAUUUUCGUCCCUCCUAUAAACAAAACUCCUACUCCUUAAUCUUGACAGCGUCUGACAUUGCAGAUGAAAUGGAGCUAUGCAUGUGUGAUCUCCUGUCAAGAAUUACUUACAAUGACCACAAAAAAAGGCAGAAAAUUACCAGGUAAUGACUAGUAGCCUGCAUCCAACUGUCUAUUGCCCUUAACUUCUGGAACAGUCGAACUCUCUGAAACCAUACGUACAUACUCCCUCCAUUUCACAAUAUAAGUCAUUCUAACAUUUCCUACAUUUAUAUUGAUGUUAAUGAAUCUAGACAAAUAUAUAUAUCUAGAUUCAUUAAUAUCAAUAUAAAUGUGAAAAAUGGUAGAAUGACUUGCAUUGUGAAACGGAAGAAGUAUGGGACUGAACUAACCGUUACAGUUGCAGCUGAGCAGGACCAGGCCAGGAGAUAAUAGAGGAAUGGUUGAAGAUACCAGCAACGGCUGUACUUGCGCAAGAUGUGAUUGGCCCUGGGGCUGAAACUCCAUGUGAUCCGUCGUGCAUUUGCUGGAUAUCACUGUGUGUCUGAGUGGCUGCCUUUAAUUUUCCGAAGGGCAGAGUUACUUUGGUGAUUGUUGGGCCCCUGAAAGCUGGGCUAGCACAUAGUAUUUCUGUUGGCACAGUCCUAAUACUCGACCUAAGAUGUUUUACAUAGGAUUAAAUGAGCUAGCCGCCACAUAAGAUUUUUUAUGAUUUGGUGAAAGAUUUAAUGGUGAAAAAAAAAGAAAAUAGAUUUUGCAUUGACUUGGUAUUCUACAUGACAUCCAAGAUAUGAUGAGAUAUAAGUGAUAUUAAAUCACUGUACUGAAUUAGUAGUGUGUGCAUAUUAUCACAUCUCUCUCAUGGGUUAUGGAAUAAAUAAAUCCACAGUGUUGGCUACUGUCUGUAAAAUUUACUAGUAACAAUAUCAUUGGGCAGAAUUGCAUAAACUAAUUGAUGAAAAAAGAAAUAAAGUUGAACCUUAA
rnacentral:lncRNA from 1 species